CUCUCUCUCUCUCUCUUCCAGCCUCCCUUCACCAACGCACUCCCCUAGCCCUCACGUCGCCGGCCUUCCUCCCUCCAUCCUGAAACAGCCCCUCCCUCACUUGAUCUGCUCUCCUCUUCAACCCAGUGCCACCGCAGCCUCCAACUGUUGCAGACCAGCCCCACCUUCAUUCUACCUUCCCGCACACCUCCCUCCCUCUCCUCCUCACUGAAUCGAGCCGCCCUCUCUACACAGGUUCUUUGCUAUCAUACGGCCCAGAUCCGCCGCCAGCAGCUACCGCACCACCUCGUCGAGGCUACCAGCCAUCCACCAACACCCACUGCUUCCCCAUGGCUAGCCUGAGUCCCCUCUCCUCUCAGAUCUGUAUGGAAUCUUUAGUGUGGAUAAGAAAUCUGUAGAACCAUUACUACUUCAAAAACAAGGGCUACUACAGUCGAUAGCUAGCAAUCAAAGUGGGAAUAUGAGAGGGACCAAGGUGGGCCAACCCGCAUUAAGGUGGUAAUAUAUGAAGCUCCAGACAGAAGUUGUCAUUGCUUAUCUUAUCAGCUUUAUCUGGAUUCUGCAAAUUCAUUGCGGCAAGCGAGAGAAAUCAAUGGCGCCGAGGUAGAGAACCCCAAAGGUGAGCAGGAACCCUGAUCUCAUUCAUGGUAUCGAUAUAUACUCAAGGUCGAAGAUGUACCACAAGAGGGGCCUCUGGGCCAUCAAGGCCAAAAACGAUGGUGUUUUUCCUCGCCACGGCGCCAAACCCAAGGCAGCCCUUCCAGCCGAUAAGCCCCCCAAGUUCUAUCCUACGGAUGAUGUCAAAAAACCCCUCUUGAACAAGCAGAAACUCAAUACCACUAAGCUCAGGGCUAGUAUUACUGCGGGUACCGUGCUAAUCAUACUUGCUGGGAGGUUCAUGGGCAAGAGAGUUAUUUGCCUGAAGUAGCUUCCAACUGGAUGCUUUUGGUCCACUAAGCUCAGAGCGAUCAUUUUGGUAGGCUUCGAGUUCGAGGAUUACCCAGAAAAGAAAAUGUGGGCAAGGCAGAAUAACCAUAUGGGGGUGCUUUAAGUUGAGAGGAAGAUGUCCAGGAAAACUAAGAAAAAGUUCACCCAUUGUCUCGAAAACAGAAAGAGAGAGAGAGAGAGAGAGAGAGAGAGAGAGAGAGAGAGAGAGUAGAAGGGGACGGGAUAAUGGGAAGGUAGCAAGGAUUAGAUUAAUUUUACGUCACUUCAAUGGCAACCAAGUCUGUUUAGGAACUUUUUUUAUUCUUAUCUUUGUUGGAUUCAAAAAAUGAGAGAGAGAGAGAGAGAGAGAGAGAGAGAGAGAGAGUAAUGAGAGGAAUGGGUAGAAAAAGUGAU